rnacentral:rRNA from 1 species
UACGGGGGGGCAAGCGUUGUUCGGAAUUACUGGGCGUAAAGGGCUCGUAGGCGGCCCACUAAGUCAGACGUGAAAUCCCUCGGCUUAACCGGGGAACUGCGUCUGAUACUGGAUGGCUUGAAUCCGGGAGAGGGAUGCGGAAUUCCAGGUGUAGCGGUGAAAUGCGUAGAUAUCUGGAGGAACACCGGUGGUGAAGGCGGCAUCCUGGACCGGCAUUGACGCUGAGGAGCGAAAGCCAGGGGAGCAAACGGG